CAAAUGUUUUUCAAAAUCAUUUCAUCAUUAAAAUGCUCUAACUCCUCGCCGUAAAACAUGUAUAAAUUUUCCCAGAAAUAGAAUAUAAAUAUAUACAUCUAUAUAUAUAUAUAUAUUCAAAUUAUGCUUCACAUAUUCAUAAUCAUAAGUAUGCCAUGCCAAAUAUAAAACAGAAUAAGUAACUUAGGUAAAAAUAGAUUCAUGGGAAAUAAUAUAUUAGUCAGAACCCCUGCAGAAGUCUGUACGGCUGAAUUCAUAGCUCAUUAGUCAAUCUAGCCGGAGUCACUGCAAAUGACCUAUACGGCACUACACUGCACACGAGUCGGAACCACUGUAAUGAUCUAUACGACAUGACUGGGUGUAAUAUUGUUAUGCUCAGUGCUACACUCUCAUGAUAGCUAUGCGAUAAAUCACUAGUCACCUAUGAGUCGGAACUACAUAUAAUGGUCUGUACGACAAGACUGUGCACCUAAAUUGGAUAUAAUGUGAGCAUAUUGUGUGGGAGGUGACAUUAUAAACAGGCAUGUACCUUAUCUUUGGCUAAAUCACAAUCACCCGGGGUGCAGGUUUAUGAGCUUUAUGCUUCUCAAAUAAUCACAACUGUUAUUCACAUUCACAAUUUAUAAACUCACCUGGGCUUACCUGAGCAUCCACAGCACCACAAUUAUAUAUUAUACAUCAUAUACUAUUUCAUAUUCUGAAUAUAAAUUUAUAUGCAUGGCAUUUCAAAGCAUACUUUCAUUUAAACGCAUUUUCUGGGAA
rnacentral:lncRNA from 1 species